GGGGCGGUAAGUUAAUCGGCAAACUUUCUAGUUUAUCACCUAGAGAAUGCGGGUUCGAAUCCCGUCCGCUCCA
rnacentral:tRNA from 4 species